CGUCGGCGGGAGAGGUUCUGCUCAUUUGCUUUGAGAAAUUCACUGCCAAGUUCCGAGUGUUGUUGGAAGUCUGUAACGCGUUGCAGGACGAUAUUGUUUUGUUGUUAUUUUGAUUUUGAUUUUCCCAGUUGGUUGUGGAAAUACACCGGAAGCGAUUUUUAAGGGAGAGACUCAUUAAUAUUCUUUUCUUUUUUUGGGGAGUUGAUUUGUAUACCAUGUAAGAAAUGUCUAGAAAAGAAGAAGAAAAAGAAGAAGAAAAAAUUACGUAAAUUCACAGGAAGUAACGAAAUAAUUUUUGAAAUGAAACAAAAGCAAGAAAAGUGUUAAAAAACGAUAAAGAAAGAAGAUAAUGAAGACGUUGUAGUGGUAGAAGAAUAAGAAGAAAAAGAAUAAGAAUAAGAAUAAGAAGAAGGGGAAAAAGGAGAAGAAGAAAACAUAGGAGAAGAAGACGAAGAAUAGGCAGUGGAGAAGGAGGAAAACAAAGCUAGAGAAGAAGAAGACGAAGAAGAGGAAGUGGAGAAGAAGAAAGAAGAAGAAAGCGACGGAGAAUAAUAAUAAAGCGAAGGAGAGAGAGAAGAGGAAAAAAGAAGAAGAAACAAACGUUUAGAAUUAAAGAAGAAAAAAAGAGCAGGAGAAGAGAAAACAAAGACGGGGAAUAAGAGAAAGGUAAAAAAAAAAAAAGAAAACAAAUAUUCGAAGGAAAAUGAAGAAAAAUUUCACCUUUCGAUUUCCAUCACAGGUUUAUUAUUUACCAGAGGAGGUCAACUUCUGGACGAUGGCGAUCGUGGCGGUCGGGACGGGGUUUAUCAUCACAGUUGCCGUUACCAUUUACCUCAUAUUACAGACGAGGUUGGAGAGACCACAACCAGUCCGUCACCAAAGAAUCAACCAUUUUCCAGACAUGUUCCUUAACCUUGAGGAUCUCUAUUGUCACUCUCCCCCGACGCCUGUUCAUCGCUGGAACGUGAACAGGGCUGCGAGAGAUUCAUGAUGUCUUUACAGUCCCAUGUUAAUUUUUUCGUUGUAUUUGAAGAUUUUUUUUUCCAUUUUUUUUUUUUCGAUAUGAUUGUCUAUCUGUCUGUCUGUCUGCCUGUCUCUCUCUUUCUCUCUCUCUCUC